CUUCUCCCUGCUUUUGGGCUAAGUCCUUGACGGCCCAAGAGCUCAAGACCUCUACAGCCUCUUGUACCCUGGGAAGACGCCCAAAUAGUCUCAGGCCCGUUCCACAGAAGGUUGGAAGAGCCCCCCAAAGACCGCGGUGUCUCGGGGACAUGGAAUUCCGUGGUCCUGGGGCGCUGCUAAGAUCCGGGUGUCUGGACCCUGGGGUGGGACGGAGUGACCGUGAAGAUAGAAAAAAA
rnacentral:lncRNA from 1 species